AAGCCAGACUCCUACGGGAGGCAGCAGUGGGGAAUAUUGCACAAUGGGGGAAACCCUGAUGCAGCGACGCCGCGUGAGUGAAGAAGUAUUUCGGUAUGUAAAGCUCUAUCAGCAGGGAAGAAAAUGACGGUACCUGACUAAGAAGCUCCGGCUAAAUACGUGCCAGCAGCCGCGGUAAUACGUAUGGUGCAAGCGUUAUCCGGAAUGACUGGGUGUAAAGGGAGCGUAGACGGUUGUACAAGUCUGAUGUGAAAGCCCACGGCUCAACUGUGGGAGUGCAUUGGAAGCUGUAGAACUAGAGUAUCGGAGAGGCAAGUGGAAUUCCUAGUGUAGCGGUGAAAUGCGUAGAUAUUAGGAGGAACACCAGUGGCGAAGGCGGCUUACUGGACUGUAACUGACGUUGAGGCUCGAAAGCGUGGGGAGCAAACAGGAUUAGAUACCCCCGUA
rnacentral:rRNA from 1 species